UGAGCAAUCUGCCCUUCACAUCGGAAUAACCAUUGGAAACGAUGGCUAAUACCGAAUAUGACUUCGGAUCGCAUGAUCUGAAGUGGAAAGCUCCGGCGGUGAAGGAUGAGCUCGCGGCCUAUCAGCUUGUUGGUGAGGUAAUAGCUCACCAAGGCGAUGACGGGUAGCCGGCCUGAGAGGGUGACCGGCCACACUGGGACUGAGACACGGCAGG
rnacentral:rRNA from 1 species